rnacentral:tRNA from 1 species
GAGGGCAUAGCUCAGUGGUAGAGUGCGUGCUUAGCAUGUAUGAGGUCCUGGGUUCAGUUCCCAGUACCUCCA